rnacentral:rRNA from 1 species
AUCGAACGCUGGCGGCAGGCCUAACACAUGCAAGUCGAACGAGUGGCGGACGGGUGAGUAAUGUCUGGGAAACUGCCUGAUGGAGGGGGAUAACUACUGGAAACGGUAGCUAAUACCGCAUACCAUCAGAUGUGCCCAGAUGGGAUUAGCUUGUGGGUGGGGUAACGGUGCACCAAGGCGACGAGCCCUAGCUGGUCCGAGAGGAUGACCGGCCACACGGGAACUGAGACAGGGUCCAGACGCCUACGGGAGGCAGCAGUGGGGAAUAUUGGACAAUGGACGCAAGCCUGAUGCAGCCAGGCCGCGUGUAUGAAGAAGGCCUUCGGGUUGUAAAGUACUUUCAGCGGGGAGGCGUUACCCGCAGAAAAAGCACCGGCUAACUCCGUGCCAGCAGCCGCGGUAAUAC